rnacentral:rRNA from 1 species
ACGGGAGGCAGCAGUGGGGAAUAUUGCACAAUGGGGGAAACCCUGAUGCAGCGACGCCGCGUGAGUGAAGAAGUAUUUCGGUAUGUAAAGCUCUAUCAGCAGGGAAGAAAACAAUGACGGUACCUGACUAAGAAGCCCCGGCUAACUACGUGCCAGCAGCCGCGGUAAUACGUAGGGGGCAAGCGUUAUCCGGAUUUACUGGGUGUAAAGGGAGCGUAGACGGUGAGGCAAGUCUGAAGUGAAAGCCCGGAGCUCAACCCCGGGACUGCUUUGGAAACUGUCUGACUAGAGUGCAGGAGAGGUAAGUGGAAUUCCUAGUGUAGCGGUGAAAUGCGUAGAUAUUAGGAGGAACACCAGUGGCGAAGGCGGCUUACUGGACUGUAACUGACGUUGAGGCUCGAAAGCGUGGGGAGCAAACAGGAUUAGAUACCCUGGUA